GCGGCGCGCCUAACACAUGCAAGUCGAGCGGUAGCACAGAGAGCUUGCUCUCGGGUGACGAGCGGCGGACGGGUGAGUAAUGUCUGGGAAACUGCCUGAUGGAGGGGGAUAACUACUGGAAACGGUAGCUAAUACCGCAUAACGUCGCAAGACCAAAGUGGGGGACCUUCGGGCCUCAUGCCAUCAGAUGUGCCCAGAUGGGGUUAGCUAGUAGGUGGGGUAACGGCUCACCUAGGCGACGAUCCCUAGCUGGUCUGAGAGGAUGACCAGCCACACUGGAACUGAGACACGGUCCAGACUCCUACGGGAGGCAGCAGUGGGGAAUAUUGCACAAUGGGCGCAAGCCUGAUGCAGCCAUGCCGCGUGUGUGAAGAAGGCCUUCGGGUUGUAAAGCACUUUCAGCGGGGAGGAAGGCGUUAAGGUUAAUAACCUUGGCGAUUGACGUUACCCGCAGAAGAAGCACCGGCUAACUCCGUGCCAGCAGCCGCGGUAAUACGGAGGGUGCAAGCGUUAAUCGGAAUUACUGGGCGUAAAGCGCACGCAGGCGGUCUGUCAAGUCGGAUGUGAAAUCCCCGGGCUCAACCUGGGAACUGCAUUCGAAACUGGCAGGCUAGAGUCUUGUAGAGGGGGGUAGAAUUCCAGGUGUAGCGGUGAAAUGCGUAGAGAUCUGGAGGAAUACCGGUGGCGAAGGCGGCCCCCUGGACAAAGACUGACGCUCAGGUGCGAAAGCGUGGGGAGCAAACAGGAUUAGAUACCCUGGUAGUCCACGCCGUAAACGAUGUCGAUUUGGAGGUUGUGCCCUUGAGGCGUGGCUUCCGGAGCUAACGCGUUAAAUCGACCGCCUGGGGAGUACGGCCGCAAGGUUAAAACUCAAAUGAAUUGACGGGGGCCCGCACAAGCGGUGGAGCAUGUGGUUUAAUUCGAUGCAACGCGAAGAACCUUACCUGGUCUUGACAUCCACAGAACUUUCCAGAGAUGGAUUGGUGCCUUCGGGAACUGUGAGACAGGUGCUGCAUGGCUGUCGUCAGCUCGUGUUGUGAAAUGUUGGGUUAAGUCCCGCAACGAGCGCAACCCUUAUCCUUUGUUGCCAGCGGUUCGGCCGGGAACUCAAAGGAGACUGCCAGUGAUAAACUGGAGGAAGGUGGGGAUGACGUCAAGUCAUCAUGGCCCUUACGACCAGGGCUACACACGUGCUACAAUGGCAUAUACAAAGAGAAGCGACCUCGCGAGAGCAAGCGGACCUCAUAAAGUAUGUCGUAGUCCGGAUUGGAGUCUGCAACUCGACUCCAUGAAGUCGGAAUCGCUAGUAAUCGUAGAUCAGAAUGCUACGGUGAAUACGUUCCCGGGCCUUGUACACACCGCCCGUCACACCAUGGGAGUGGGUUGCAAAAGAAGUAGGUAGCUUAACCUUCGGGAGGGCGCUUACCACUUUGUGAUUCAUGACUGGGGUGAAGUCAUAAC
rnacentral:rRNA from 1 species